rnacentral:rRNA from 1 species
GUGGGGGAUAUUGGUCAAUGGGGGAAACCCUGAACCAGCAACGCCGCGUGAGGGAAGAAGGUUUUCGGAUUGUAAACCUCUGUUUUUGGUGACGAAACAAAUGACGGUAGCCAAGGAGAAAGCCACGGCUAACUACGUGCCAGCAGCCGCGGUAAUACGUAGGUGGCAAGCGUUGUCCGGAAUUACUGGGUGUAAAGGGAGCGCAGGCGGGAAGGCAAGUCAGACGUGAAAACUAUGGGCUCAACCCAUAACGUGCGUUUGAAACUGUUUUUCUUGAGUGAAGUAGAGGUAGGCGGAAUUCCGAGUGUAGCGGUGAAAUGCGUAGAUAUUCGGAGGAACACCAGUGGCGAAGGCGGCCUACUGGGCUUUUACUGACGCUGAGGCUCGAAAGUGUGGGGAGCAAACAGGA